AGCGAACCGGGAAGAGCCCA
rnacentral:snRNA from 1 species